UGGCUCAGAGUGAACGCUGGCGGCAGGCCUAACACAUGCAAGUCGAGCGGCAGCGCGUCCGACCACCCUCGGUGGUCGGAUGGCGGCGAGCGGCGGACGGGUGAGGAAUGCAUCGGAAUCUGCCUCGUUGUGGGGGAUAACGUAGGGAAACUUACGCUAAUACCGCAUACGACCUACGGGUGAAAGUGGGGGACCUUCGGGCCUCACGCGAUGAGAUGAGCCGAUGCCGGAUUAGCUAGUUGGCGGGGUAAAGGCCCACCAAGGCGACGAUCCGUAGCUGGUCUGAGAGGAUGAUCAGCCACACUGGAACUGAGACACGGUCCAGACUCCUACGGGAGGCAGCAGUGGGGAAUAUUGGACAAUGGGGGCAACCCUGAUCCAGCCAUGCCGCGUGUGUGAAGAAGGCCUUCGGGUUGUAAAGCACUUUUGUUGGGGAAGAAACCGGCCGGGUUAAUACCCUGGUUGAAUGACGGUACCCAAAGAAUAAGCACCGGCUAACUUCGUG
rnacentral:rRNA from 1 species